AUCCUAGCAUUUCCCACAUUCAUAUUGAUGUUAAUGAAUCUAUCUAGGAAAUGCUAGGAUGAUUUACAUUGUGAAAGUCUAGAUUCAUUAACAUCAAUAUGAAUGUGGGAAAUGCUAGGAUGAUUUACAUUGUGAAACGG
rnacentral:misc_RNA from 1 species